CCUGAGAUCGCAUAUCGACUUAGUGAUGCGAAGGAGCAAGGGGUGGAAGAAGUAUAAAGUACAAACAGAGCAGCGAUAGGAGAUCCCAUCAGUGCAAGAGAUGGCAGAGAAUAGUUCACUUGCUUAGUUCAGAAGAUCGAAAAGUCAGAGACGAGAACUUCAUCGUGCAUAAGCAACCAUUAAAAGAAAAGUUCGUCAAGCAAAAUUUACGCAUUCCAAAUUAAGAGGCAACAUUUGGUAAUGGUUCUUAGGGGUGUCAAUGGUUCGGUUCGGUUCGGUUCGGUUUUUUUAAAAACCGAACCGAACCGAACCGUUAGGAAAAACUUCCGAACCGAACUAAAUGAGACCCAAACCGAAUAUGAACCGAACCGAAUUUUUGGUUUGGUUCGGUUAGGUUCAGUUUUUCGAUUUUUGGUUUUCAACUUUUAGUUUUCGGUUUUUGCAUUUGUUUUUUCUUUUCGUUUUUUUUUUCCCGUUGUAUUUCCAAGAAAUAAGC
rnacentral:lncRNA from 1 species